rnacentral:rRNA from 1 species
CCUACGGGAGGCAGCAGUGAGGAAUAUUGGUCAAUGGGCGCGAGCCUGAACCAGCCAAGUCGCGUGAGGGAGGACGGCCCUACGGGUUGUAAACCUCUUUUGCCGGGGAGCAACGGGCGCCACGUGUGGCGUCACUGAUAGUACCCGGAGAAAAAGCAUCGGCUAACUCCGUGCCAGCAGCCGCGGUAAUACGGGGGAUGCGAGCGUUAUCCGGAUUUAUUGGGGUUAAAGGGUGCGUAGGCGGAUAGGUAAGACAGUGGUAAAAUUGAGGGGCUCAACCCCUUCCCGCCAUUGAAACUGGCGUUCUUGAGUGGAAGAGAAGUAUGCGGAAUGCGUGGUGUAGCGGUGAAAUGCAUAGAUAUCACGAAGAACUCCGAUUGCGAAGGCAGCUUACUAAACUGCCACUGACAUUGAUGCUCGAAAGUGUGGGUAUCAAACAGGAUUAGAUACCCCAGUAGUC